rnacentral:rRNA from 1 species
UACGGAGGGGGCUAGCGUUGCUCGGAAUGACUGGGCGUAAAGGGCGCGUAGGCGGUUUGUGCAGUCAGGUGUGAAAUUCCCGGGCUCAACCUGGGGGCUGCACUUGAUACGUAUGGACUUUGAGUGAGGAAGAGGGUCGUGGAAUUCCCAGUGUAGAGGUGAAAUUCGUAGAUAUCAGGAGGAACACCGGUGGCGAAAGCGGCUUCCUGGCCCGACAUUGACGCUCAUGUACGAAAGCGUGGGAGCAACAGG